AUCUCAAUUCACCAAUCUCUACCUAUUUAAUUAAAAUACCUUUUACUAAAUACAAACAUUUCCAUUUACUUUUUAUAAAUAUUUUAUGUUUUAUCAUUACACCAUAAUGAAACACCACAAAACCCAUAAACAAUCCCCCCCACACACUUUUCAAUGGCCUCUCCCAGAGACUAUAUAUGGUGUCUGGACCCCCAGGGCAAUAUUUGUCCAAACACCCUGGAGAGGACACAGAAAAGACAGGCAACCACCUCACUCGUCAAUGAGGAGCAGCUGUGCAGAGCCCAGAACAAAAGGCUACAUGCUAAUCUCUAAAAAUACUCAAUAAAUACAAUUAAAACUU